rnacentral:rRNA from 1 species
GACGAACGCUGGCGGCGUGCUUAAUACAUGCAAGUCGAACGAAACUUUCUUACACGGAAUGCUUGCAUUCACCGUAAGAAGUUGAGUGGCGGACGGGUGAGUAACACGUGGGUAACCUGCCUAAAAGAAGGGNAUAACACUUGGAAACAGGUGCUAAUACGUAUAUCUCUAAGGAUCGCAUGAUCCUUAGAUGAAAGAUGGUUCUGCUAUCGCUUUAGAUGGACCCGCGGCGUAUUAACUAGUUGGGUGGGGUAACGGCCUACCAAGGUGAUGAUACGUAGCCGAACUGAGAGGUUGAUCGGCCACAUUGGGACUGAGACACGGCCCAAACUCCUACGGGAGGCAGCAGUAGGGAAUCUUCCACAAUGGACGCAAGUCUGAUGGAGCAACGCCGCGUGAGUGAAGAAGGUCUUCGGAUCGUAAAACUCUGUUGUUAGAGAAGAACACGAGUGAGAGUAACUGUUCAUUCGAUGACGGUAUCUAACCAGCAAGUCACGGCUAACUACGUGCCAGCAGCCGCGGUAAUACGUAGGUGGCAAGCGUUGUCCGGAUUUAUUGGGCGUAAAGGGAACGCAGGCGGUCUUUUAAGUCUGAUGUGAAAGCCUUCGGCUUAACCGGAGUAGUGCAUUGGAAACUGGAAGACUUGAGUGCAGAAGAGGAGAGUGGAACUCCAUGUGUAGCGGUGAAAUGCGUAGAUAUAUGGAAGAACACCAGUGGCGAAAGCGGCUCUCUGGUCUGUAACUGACGCUGAGGUUCGAAAGCGUGGGUAGCAAACAGGAUUAGAUACCCUGGUAGUCCACGCCGUAAACGAUGAAUGCUAGGUGUUGGAGGGUUUCCGCCCUUCAGUGCCGCAGCUAACGCAAUAAGCAUUCCGCCUGGGGAGUACGACCGCAAGGUUGAAACUCAAAGGAAUUGACGGGGGCCCGCACAAGCGGUGGAGCAUGUGGUUUAAUUCGAAGCAACGCGAAGAACCUUACCAGGUCUUGACAUCCUUUGACCACCUAAGAGAUUAGGGUUUCCCUUCGGGGACAAAGUGACAGGUGGUGCAUGGCUGUCGUCAGCUCGUGUCGUGAGAUGUUGGGUUAAGUCCCGCAACGAGCGCAACCCUUGUUGUCAGUUGCCAGCAUUAAGUUGGGCACUCUGGCGAGACUGCCGGUGACAAACCGGAGGAAGGUGGGGACGACGUCAAGUCAUCAUGCCCCUUAUGACCUGGGCUACACACGUGCUACAAUGGACGGUACAACGAGUCGCAAGACCGCGAGGUUUAGCUAAUCUCUUAAAGCCGUUCUCAGUUCGGAUUGUAGGCUGCAACUCGCCUACAUGAAGUCGGAAUCGCUAGUAAUCGCGAAUCAGCAUGUCGCGGUGAAUACGUUCCCGGGCCUUGUACACACCGCCCGUCACACCAUGAGAGUUUGUAACACCCAAAACCGGUGGGGUAACCGCAAGGAGCCACCGUCUANGUGGGACAAAUGAUUGGGGUG